AAUCGAGUGGCGAACGGGUGAGUAACGCGUGAGGAACCUGCCUCAAAGAGGGGGACAACAGUUGGAAACGACUGCUAAUACCGCAUAAGCCCACGGCUCGGCAUCGAGCAGAGGGAAAAGGAGUGAUCCGCUUUGAGAUGGCCUCGCGUCCGAUUAGCUAGUUGGUGAGGUAACGGCCCACCAAGGCGACGAUCGGUAGCCGGACUGAGAGGUUGAACGGCCACAUUGGGACUGAGACACGGCCCAGACUCCUACGGGAGGCAGCAGUGGGGAAUAUUGCACAAUGGGGGAAACCCUGAUGCAGCGACGCCGCGUGGAGGAAGAAGGUCUUCGGAUUGUAAACUCCUGUUGUUGAGGAAGAUAAUGACGGUACUCAACAAGGAAGUGACGGCUAACUACGUGCCAGCAGCCGCGGUAAAACGUAGGUCACAAGCGUUGUCCGGAAUUACUGGGUGUAAAGGGAGCGCAGGCGGGAGAACAAGUUGGAAGUGAAAUCCAUGGGCUCAACCCAUGAACUGCUUUCAAA
rnacentral:rRNA from 1 species